CUCACGAAUCUGGAUAUUCAAGGAAUGUUCAUGAGCACAUUAUCAUUUCUCUUGGAUUGUCAACAAACUGUAUUGUAAUCUGUAAUCACAAUUAUGAAGUUGUUAGUUUGUUGUUAUGAACAGUUGAGAGCAUUAUGAGAAAUUAUGAAAGUUAUGAAUUGUUAUGAAAAAGUUAUUAGAAUAAAGAUUGAAAGACAGUUUAUAUAGUUUCUGAAAAACCAACUACG
rnacentral:lncRNA from 1 species